GAGCGAACGCUGGCGGCAGGCCUAACCCAUGCAAGUCGAACGAACUCUUCGGAGUUAGUGGCGGACGGGUGAGUAACACGUGGGAACGUGCCUUUAGGUUCGGAAUAACUCAGGGAAACUUGUGCUAAUACCGAAUGUGCCCUUCGGGGGAAAGAUUUAUCGCCUUUAGAGCGGCCCGCGUCUGAUUAGCUAGUUGGUGAGGUAAAGGCUCACCAAGGCGACGAUCAGUAGCUGGUCUGAGAGGAUGAUCAGCCACAUUGGGACUGAGACACGGCCCAAACUCCUACGGGAGGCAGCAGUGGGGAAUCUUGCGCAAUGGGCGAAAGCCUGACGCAGCCAUGCCGCGUGAAUGAUGAAGGUCUUAGGAUUGUAAAAUUCUUUCACCGGGGACGAUAAUGACGGUACCCGGAGAAGAAGCCCCGGCUAACUUCGUG
rnacentral:rRNA from 1 species